rnacentral:rRNA from 1 species
GUGGGGAAUUUUGCGCAAUGGGCGAAAGCCUGACGCAGCAACGCCGCGUGGAGGAUGAAGGUUCUCUGAAUCGUAAACUCCUGUCGGCCGGGAAGAAUGGGCGGAGUGCUAAUCAGCUUCGUCUUGACUGUACCGGCAAAGGAAGCCCCGGCUAACUCCGUGCCAGCAGCCGCGGUAAUACGGAGGGGGCAAGCGUUACUCGGAAUUAUUGGGCGUAAAGGGCGCGUAGGCGGUCGCGUGCGUCAGAGGUGAAAUCCCCCGGCUUAACCGGGGAGCUGCCUCUGAUACGGCGCGGCUUGAGUCCGGGAGAGGGGAGCAGAAUUCCCAGUGUAGCGGUGAAAUGCGUAGAUAUUGGGAGGAAUACCGGUGGCGAAGGCGGCUCCCUGGACCGGUACUGACGCUGAGGCGCGAAAGCGUGGGUAGCAAACAGGAUUAGAAACCCCGGUAGUCC